rnacentral:rRNA from 1 species
CCUACGUGCGGCAGCAGUGGGGAAUAUUGGACAAUGGGCGAAAGCCUGAUCCAGCCAUGCCGCGUGUGUGAAGAAGGCCUUCGGGUUGUAAAGCACUUUCAGUGGGGAAGAAAGCCUUGGGGCUAAUACCCUCGAGGAAGGACAUCACCCACAGAAGAAGCACCGGCUAACUCCGUGCCAGCAGCCGCGGUAAUACGGAGGGUGCGAGCGUUAAUCGGAAUUACUGGGCGUAAAGCGCGCGUAGGCGGUCUGAUAAGCCGGUUGUGAAAGCCCCGGGCUCAACCUGGGAACGGCAUCCGGAACUGUCAGGCUAGAGUGCAGGAGAGGAAGGUAGAAUUCCCGGUGUAGCGGUGAAAUGCGUAGAGAUCGGGAGGAAUACCAGUGGCGAAGGCGGCCUUCUGGACUGACACUGACGCUGAGGUGCGAAAGCGUGGGUAGCAAACAGGAUUAGAUACCCCUGUAGUC